GACGAACGCUGGCGGCGUGCUUAACACAUGCAAGUCGAACGGUAAGGCCCUUCGGGGUACACGAGUGGCGAACGGGUGAGUAACACGUGGGUGAUCUGCCCUGCACUUCGGGAUAAGCCUGGGAAACUGGGUCUAAUACCGGAUAGGACCACUGCCUGCAUGGGUGGUGGUGGAAAGCUUUUGCGGUGUGGGAUGGGCCCGCGGCCUAUCAGCUUGUUGGUGGGGUGCUGGCCUAACAAGGCGACGACGGGUAGCCGGCCUGAGAGGGUGACCGGCCACACUUGGACUGAGAUACGGCCCAGACUCCUACGGGAGGCAGCAGUGGGGAAUAUUGCACAAUGGGCGCAAGCCUGAUGCAGCGACGCCGCGUGAGGGAUGACGGCCUUCGGGUUGUAAACCUCUUUCAGCACCGACGAAGCGCAAGUGACGGUAGGUGCAGAAGAAGGACCGGCCAACUACGUGCCAGCAGCCGCGGUAA
rnacentral:rRNA from 1 species